UACGUAGGGGGCUAGCAUUGUCCGGAAUCAUUGGGCGUAAAGAGCGUGUAGGCGGCUUGGUAAGUCCGCUGUGAAAGUCCAGGGCUCAACCCUGGAAUGCCAGUGGAUACUGUCAAGCUAGAGUCCGGAAGAGGCGAGUGGAAUUCCUGGUGUAGCGGUGAAAUGCGCAGAUAUCAGGAGGAACACCAAUGGCGAAGGCAGCUCGCUGGGACGGUACUGACGCUGAGACGCGAAAGCGUGGGGAGCAAACAGG
rnacentral:rRNA from 1 species